UACGUAGGUGGCAAGCGAUACUCGGAAUCACUAGGCGUAAAGCGCAGGUAGGCGGUUCGGUAAGUCUUUUGUGAAAGCUCCCGGCUUAACUGGGAGAGGUCAAGGGAAACUGCCGGGCUAGAGUUUGGUAGGGGAUACUGGAAUUCCUGGUGUAGCGGUGAAAUGCGUAGAUAUCAGGAGGAAUACCUAUGGCGAAAGCAGGUAUCUGGGCCACAACUGACGCUGAGCUGCGAAAGCUAGGGGAGCAAACAGG
rnacentral:rRNA from 1 species